rnacentral:rRNA from 1 species
AGUUAACGUUGGCGGCGUGCCUAACACAUGCAAGUCGAACGCGCCGUAGCAAUACGGUGAGUGGCGAACGGGUGAGUAACACGUGGGUAAUCUUCCUUCAAGUGGGGAAUAAGCUCUCGAAAGGGAGUCUAAUACCGCAUGACUUUUCCGGGCAUAAGCCCGGCAAUUAAAGCCGCAAGGCGCUUGAAGAUGAGCCUGCGUCCUAUUAGCUAGUUGGUAGGGUAAUGGCCUACCAAGGCUCAGAUGGGUAGCCGGCCUGAGAGGGUGAACGGCCACACUGGAACUGAGACACGGUCCAGACUCCUACGGGUGGCAG